rnacentral:rRNA from 1 species
ACAGAGGGGGCAAGCGUUGUUCGGAAUCAUUGGGCGUAAAGCGCGUGUAGGCGGUUUGAUAAGUCGAAUGUGAAAUCCCCCGGCUCAACCGAGGAAGUGCAUUCGAAGCUAUCUGGCUAGAAGAUGGCAGAGGAAGGUGGAAUUCCAAGUGUAGAGGUGAAAUUCGUAGAUAUUUGGAGGAAUACCGGUGGCGAAGGCGGCCUUCUGGACCAUUCUUGACGCUGAGACGCGAAAGCGUGGGGAGCAAACAGGA